CCUACGGGUAGCAGCAGUGGGGAAUUUUCCGCAAUGGGCGCAAGCCUGACGGAGCAAGACCGCGUGCGGGAGGACGGCCUAUUGGUUGUAAACCGCUUUUGAUAGGGAAGAAGCUCUGACGGUACCUAUCGAAUCAGCAUCGGCUAACUCCGUGCCAGCAGCCGCGGUAAUACGGAGGAUGCAAGCGUUAUCCGGAAUUAUUGGGCGUAAAGCGUCCGUAGGUGGUUGUUCAAGUCUGCUGUUAAAGCGUGCGGCUUAACCGCAUACCAGCAGUGGAAACUGGGCGACUAGAGUGCGGUAGGGGUCAGGGGAAUUCCCAGUGUAGCGGUGAAAUGCGUAGAUAUUGGGAAGAACACCGGUGGCGAAAGCGCCUGACUGGACCUGCACUGACACUGAGGGACGAAAGCUAGGGGAGCGAAAGGGAUUAGAUACCCCUGUAGUCCUAGCCGUAAACGAUGGACACUAGGUGUUGCCCGUAUCGACCCGGGCAGUGCCGUAGCCAACGCGUUAAGUUCCCGCCUGGAGA
rnacentral:rRNA from 1 species